UACGAAGGGGGCUAGCGUUGCUCGGAAUUACUGGGCGUAAAGCGCACGUAGGCGGCUUUCUAAGUCGGGGGUGAAAUCCUGGAGCUCAACUCCAGAACUGCCUUCGAUACUGGAGAGCUCGAGUCCGGGAGAGGUGAGUGGAACUGCGAGUGUAGAGGUGAAAUUCGUAGAUAUUCGCAAGAACACCAGUGGCGAAGGCGGCUCACUGGCCCGGUACUGACGCUGAGGAGCGAAAGCCAGGGGAGCAAACGGG
rnacentral:rRNA from 1 species